UUUUUUUAACCAAAAACCGAACCAAUAAAAUUACCCAACAAAUCCUUUAAAAACCAAACCACCCAGCAAAAAGGACUACACUAAGGACCUUUUUCUCUCUGGCAAAUUGAGGUAGUAGGUUGUAUAGUAGUAACUACAAAUCAUACUAUACAAUGUGCUAGCUUUCUUUGCUUGACUAUUAGCCGCAAUUGAUUUAAACUCCCAAUCGAACUGCACCGCCAACACAACCCAUUCCCAGCCAUACAAAAGUUGGUGGUGCACUUUAUUUCGAUUGUGGACAUCAAGAAAAGUGUUCUGAGCCAGACUUUAUUUCGAAUUCAUUACGAAUGCCUUGGUUAUGUAAAUGCAACCGGGCAUAUGUAAAUAUUGGCAUUAGUGACAUGUGCAAAUGUUUGUAUGGCUGAUUCCCUGAGACCCUAACUUGUGACUUUUAAUACCAGUUUCACAAGUUUUGAUCUCCGGUAUUGGACGCAAACUUGCUGAUGUUAAUGAAAAAUAAACAAAGGCAAAAACAAAAGCUGAUGGAGGGCAGCAAUAAAUGGAAGUACAGAAAAGUUCUUCCGAAGAAAUAUGCGGUUCUGCUGGUUUGGAUGUGCGGAUAAGAUUAAACGGGGGAUUUAACUCUUGGAUUGGAUUGACACUUUUUAUAAGUUGGAGUUCCGAAAAAAUUAAAUCUAUUAAUGUUUAUUGAUCGAAACGAGAUGGCUUCUUAAACAUACUUUUAACUCUUUCAAAAACUAUACUCUGCUGUAAAUGUAUGCUAGGAUUAAAUUAAAAUGUUUUGAAUUGUUCGACUCUUUUAGAUAUAUCUAUAAUGCUUAAGUACCAAUAUGUCCUUCGUUCAAUUAUCAGAUUUCCAAUAUAUUAAAUUGAAUAAGUUUAGAACCAAGUCGCAGCUCUAAUUUGGAAAGUAACGUGUUAAAUUUAUCCCUAUUCCAGAUAAAAAAUACAACUUAAAUCAUUUAUCUAUAAAAAAACCUUUAUUGUAAUCCCAAAGAUGACUUCUAUUAAAACCACCGCUGAAACCACACAAUAACUUAUACAUGAUUUUGACGUAUUUUAACUAUAAACUACUAACUACUAAGUUCUAGAGAUACAAUAUGAGAAAGAUUUAAAUAAAUCGAUAAGAGUUAUGAUUUUGA